CGUGUUCACUCCUACGGGAGGCAGCAGUGGGGAAUAUUGCACAAUGGGCGCAAGCCUGAUGCAGCCAUGCCGCGUGUGUGAAGAAGGCCUUCGGGUUGUAAAGCACUUUCAGUCGUGAGGAAGGUAGUGUAGUUAAUAGCUGCAUUAUUUGACGUUAGCGACAGAAGAAGCACCGGCUAACUCCGUGCCAGCAGCCGCGGUAAUACGGAGGGUGCGAGCGUUAAUCGGAAUUACUGGGCGUAAAGCGCAUGCAGGUGGUUUGUUAAGUCAGAUGUGAAAGCCCGGGGCUCAACCUCGGAAUAGCAUUUGAAACUGGCAGACUAGAGUACUGUAGAGGGGGUAGAAUUUCAGGUGUAGCGGUGAAAAUGCGUAGAGAUCUGAAGGAAUACCGGUGGCGAAGGCGGCCCCCUGGACAGAUACUGACACUCAGAUGCGAAAAGCGUGGGGAGCAAACAGGAUUAGAUACCCUGGUAG
rnacentral:rRNA from 1 species